rnacentral:misc_RNA from 1 species
AAAGUCGUAACAAGGUUUCCGUAGGUGAACCUGCGGAAGGAUCAUUAUUGAAAUAAACCUGAUGAGUUGUUGCUGGCUCUCUAGAGAGCAUUGUGCACGCUUAUCAUCUUUAUGUCUCCACCUGUGCACGUUUUGUAGACCUGGAUCACUCUCUGAAAUGCUAACCAGCAUUUUAGGUUGGAGGAAUUUGACUUUGUUGUCUUUCCUUGCAUUUCUAGGUCUAUGUUCCUUUUCAUAUAAUCUUAUUGUGAUAUAAUGGACCCUAUAUAAUAUAAACCUAUACAACUUUCAGCAACGGAUCUCUUGGCUCUC